AUUGUGGACCUGAGAUGUGAACAAUAUGAAUGCAUCUUCUACUUUAAUAACACAUUUUCAUCUUGUCGCUCUGGUUUACUACCCGAAGUCUUCCGCACUUUACCUUAAGUACUCUGUAUCAAGCCAAACUCCUGAUCUGCCGAUUUAGGAGUUUCAUUUUCACUAUCAAUAUCCAAGAGAGGUAUUUAAUUAAAGAUUUAAAGAUCCUGCUGCCCCUUCUAUAAAAAUAAAUAUAAUAUAUAAUGUGAAAUUCUCUUUUUUUAUUGUGACAUUUAACAAAAUAAAAUCAUUUUGGUGAUCCUGACUGAUCUGAAACAAUGUUAAUGUAAUUUGAACCAGCACGGUGGCGCAGUUGUAAAGAGCUGGCCUCACAGUUCUGAGGACUAGGGUUCAUUCCCGGCCCUCCUUGUGUGGAGUUUGCAUGUUCUCCCCGUGCCUGCGUGGAUUUUCUUCGGGCACUCCGGUUUCCUCACACAUCCCAAAAACAUGCAACAUUAAUUGGACACUUUCAGUUUUCCCUAGGUGUCAUAGUGAGUGCAGCUGUUUGUCUCAAUGUGCCCUGUGAUUGGGUGGCAACCAGUUCAGGGUGUACCGCGCCGCCUGCCCAUUGACAGAUGGGAUAGGCUCCAGCACUCUCUGCGACCAUGGUGAGGUUAAGCAGCUAAGAAAAUGGAUGGAUGGAUGGAUGGAAGGAUGGAUGGAUUCUGAUGCACCUUCCACUCAUCCAAGGUCAGGUCACGGGGGCAUUAACAUUAGCAAGGAAACCAAAACUUCCCUCUAAACAGUGAAAGGUUAUGUUGGGACAGCAACCUGCGCUAAUACCCUGUUCCAGGAACUGCUUUAAAUGGAUUUGUUUUUCAGCAGGCUUCAGCCUUGUGUGACUAGACAAAACAGAGUUGUUUUUGAGCACCAGCUCCAGGGGAGCGUGCUUCAACUGCGGAAAAAUAGGACAUUGUCACAGAGCGCUCUGUUCAUUAAACUUCUAAGUGUUUGUCACAUUUCAUGCCUCUGGAGUCGUUAUUGACCGAACCUGGAAUUGGACGAACACACGGAAGGACCCCAAAAGGACCACUUUCCAACAAUUGGUGACCCCGACGUGAUUCAGAAACAUCUAUUGGACCGACAGGCAGAAAUUUUGGCGUCCCACAAUUGACAGGCUCGACGUCUUGAGACUCCACUGUCGGCAGCCUCCUUGAUGGAACUGAAGCGGAAGUGGUCUGAACCCCGGUGGGAUGGUCUCGACAAGGUGGUGGAACGAACUUCAUCCGCUGUUCGAUUGGAGGGAGAAGGGGACACGUGGUACCAUCUUUCAUCGACCCGCCCUGCUUGUACCCAGACCGGACAGCCUUUUGCCCCGGUUCUGCCCCCACGUCACCAGCCCCUGCCAUCAUCCCGCCUGCCAUUCCCUAACCUUGACUCCUAUCACCAUCUUACCGCCACACACACUUACCCCAACAUGCCACAUUUUAUUAAUAAAAUGCACCACACACUUUUCCCUUUUUGUUGCUGGCCAAUUUCACACUCUCAACCGCGAAAGACAACUGUCCCUGUCAAUCAACCUUUAUUUAUCUGUUGAGUUGUUGAUUUCUUUCGAACUCAAAAGGGGGAUGCUAAAAUUUCGCUGCUGGGUUGUCGUAAUUGCUUUCAUUACCAGAUUGUAAAAAUUGGAUUUUUUUGCCAAAUCAAAUUUUCGUGCUUUGUUGUGUUUGACUCUGUCAAGUCCAAAAGGGGGACUGAAAGGUUAAGUUAGGACAGCAACCUGCGCUAAUACCCAGUUCCAGGAACUGCCUUAAAUGAAGUUGUUUUUAAGCAGGCUUCAGCCUUGUGUGACUAGCCAAAAUGAAGUUGUUUUUCAGCAGGCACCUGUCUUGAGUAUCCAGUCGCAACAGAGGUGUUCUCAGCAGACUCAACGGCCUUGGGUGUCUAGUUACAUUAGUUAGAUCCUGUAUUGAGACUUGUCCGCCAAAGGCAGCUAUCCAACAUUGCCUAUAUAAUCUUUGUUCUCCUUUCACUCACUCACUCACUCACUCACUCACUCACACACACUCACACACACACAC